UGGCGGCGCGCCUACACAUGCAAGUCGAACGAGAAAGGGGAGCAAUCCCUGAGUACAGUGGCGUACGGGUGAGUAACACGUGGAUGAUCUACCCUUUAGUGGGGAAUAACUAUGGGAAACCGUAGCUAAUACCGCAUAAGCUCGAGAGAGGAAAGCAGCAAUGCGCUGAAGGAGGAGUCCGCGGCCGAUUAGCUAGUUGGCAGGGUAAAAGCCUACCAAGGCAGAGAUCGGUAGCCGGCCUGAGAGGGCACACGGCCACACUGGCACUGAAACACGGGCCAGACUCCUACGGGAGGCAGCAGUGGGGAAUCUUGCACAAUGGGGGAAACCCUGAUGCAGCGACGCCGCGUGAGCGAUGAAGCCCUUCGGGGUGUAAAGCUCUUUCGGCAGGGAAGAUAGUGACGGUACCUGCAGAAGCAGCUGCGGCUAACUACGUGCCAGCAGCCGCGGUAAUACGUAGGCAGCAAGCGUUGUUCGGAGUUACUGGGCGUAAAGGGUGUGUANGCGGUUGU
rnacentral:rRNA from 1 species